rnacentral:rRNA from 1 species
CGCGAAUGGCUCAUUACAACAGCCACUGUUUACUUGACCUUGACUAUCCUACUUGGAUAACUGUGGUAAUUCUAGGGCUAAUACACGCAAUAAAGCUCCGACCUUACGGGACGAGCGCAUUUAUUAGACCAAAACCAAUCGGGCUUCGGCCUGAGCCGUUGGUGACUCUGAAUGACUGAGCUGAUCGCAUGGUCUUUGUACCGGCGACGCAUCUUUCAAGUGUCUGCCUUAUCAACUUUCGAUGGUAGUUUAUGUGCCUACCAUGGUUGUUACGGGUAACGGAGAAUAAGGGUUCGACUCCGGAGAGGGGGCCUGAGAAACGGCUACCACAUCCAAGGAAGGCAGCAGGCGCGCAAAUUACCCACUCUCGGCACGAGGAGGUAGUGACGAAAAAUAACGAGGCGGUUCUCUAUGAGGCCCGCUAUCGGAAUGGGUACAAUUUAAACCCUUUAACGAGGACCUAUGAGAGGGCAAGUCUGGUGCCAGCAGCCGCGGUAAUUCCAGCU